UAUGGAGCAUUGUGCCAUAUAAGUGCAAGAGCUGGACACUCAAUGAGGCCAGUGAGAAGAAGAUUACAGCUUUUGAAAUGGAGCUCUAGUGAAGGGUCUCUUAGAAUCAGCUGGACAGAGUGAAGAGUCAAUUAAAUUGCAGCAUUAACAGAAAUUGAGAAAGUAUCACCAAUGGAAAAGACGGACUGGGAAUCUGGUGCUGGGAACAAGAGAAGGUGAAACAUCAGGAAAUGACAGCCCAGAUCAGAGGCAGGCUAGGAAAGGAUGGGUGGGCAACACAAGCUGGACAGAGGGAGGAAUGACAGCGACACUCAGAAUUGCAGUGACUUUGGCUAACUCUGAAUGAAUGGAUCGUGGUGUCAGUCUCCAUCAUCCUGAGAGAAUCGCACUGGUGACUGAUCCACUCUUUCUGGUAUACAGAACAGCUCAGUUUGCUAAUGUGUCAAUGCUGAUUGGACCGGGCACCCUUCUCCUGACUGGAAAGUCAAUCCACAAAUUAUGAAUUGUUAUAUAUUAGAAAUUGCGGAAAAACUGCAGAGGAGAUCAUUGCUACAUCCAGGCUAUCCAUCCCUGAAGUGAACAAUUGUGUCUUAUGCCUCGGGGUAUGCAGAGAGAUGAUACACUCCAGGUUCUAGCUGAGGAAAGAAAAUCACAUCAACAAAGCAGUAAACAGAAACAGUCAAACUUGACACAACAUAUAUUUUUCUACAUUAUGAUAGCAGCAUCCCAUGCAUCUAAGUCUGACUUUUUCUCUGACAUUCCCUCAUUGCCCUGUUUCUCCAAUCACUAAAAGAAAUGAUACGAGAAAGUGAUCCUCACUCACAGAUAUCAAUAAGCAAACAGCUUCCAUGGUGAGGGUGAUGAUGCCUUUCCUCACGGAUUCUGACAUGCUGCUGGCCAG